rnacentral:sRNA from 1 species
AAACUUAAAAGAAGACGUUGGGAUAGGGUGGGGUUCAGUGGUGGUGAGAGCCUUAGUCCACGAAAGGUCUUGUGCUCAAGCCCUGGCAAUGCACACAUCCAAAAGUCUUUUGAUAUUCUUUGGGGAUAUAAACCUAAAUCAGUUCCUUGAGCACGGGUCAAUUAAGUGAUUCACUUCUAACAAAAUGAAACUGGAAGCAGUGCUGCGUAUUUGAGUAGCCUGUAUGGCAGCGCAGCAUCCCCUAGGCAGACACACUCUCUCCUGGAUCCUUCGCUCUGUGGGAAGAAGCUGUCCGUUUUGAGAAACCUCAGAAACCCCUGGGAGAAAACCUAAAGCCAACUCUGUGAGCUAAGUCCAGGACUUGACCAGCAGGCGGCAGUAUCACACAGCGCACACUAAAAUAGACAAGCUUCUCAAUGGACUACACCCUGGGGAAGAUUCCAGCUCAGAGACCCUGUUCAGAAGCAGGGGAAUUCCUGGGGAACAGGGGUCUUCAGAUGGCCAGUCAUCUGCUCACCUCUGCACAUGGGCACGGGAGUCACUGCAGAAGAGUCUACCUAAAAGCCUGACCAUCUCAUUCUUCAAGACUAAAGCCACAAAGGUCUCACACUAGCAUGAAGUUGCUGAAGCCCCUGGAGAUUCAGGAACCCAGUGUAGCCACCAACAGAAGAGCUCUGGUCCUGGACUCUGCCUUCCUGCUGUACACUCCUGCUGGCCUGCAUGGGCUCACCUUGGGUGGAGAAGGUAACUCCAUCUCUUGGAAUGAAGAAGUUGGUCCAAAACACCUCCAGCCUGUCAGAAAGCCGAGACACACAGGCUAUGACGAAGUCCUUUCAGAAUGGGCAGGGAGACGUACAGAUGAGGAAAUUCACUUCAGCAGGGAAUCUGCUAAGCGUGGCAGGAUUCCUGCUCUGGACUCUCAAAGCCUCCCGUUAAUGGAAACAGCAGGUUAACCUGGUCUGACCAACAGGAAGCCACGUGACCCAAUCUCUGUACCACGGAUGCCUUGAACGUGCAGCUUAGACCUCGAGAGAGACUCGGGGAGACAAUUGCCAUUAUCAGAGGGACGAACCCAGUCAUGGAGAGUGUGCUCCUCAGCCAGGGUCCUCCUGCACGAAAGCAACCGAAGCAGAAAACUGAGGGUCAAUGUGGCGAGAACAAAGCGGAAACUCAGUCUCCAGGAGAAAACCAGAUCUGAUGAGCACUCACGGGCUGGGGAAAGGCUCGGUGGGUGAAGUGCCUGUCCUGCAAACAUGGGGACCUGCGUUCAGAUCUCCACCCCGGUGUCAGCAGCCAGCAAGGGGGCUGCAGCUGUAACCCCAGUGCUGGGAUGGGAGCCGAGGCCUGUCCAUCACUAGAGCUCAGUGGCCAGGCAAUCUAACCAAUCUGUGAGCUCAGGAUUUAGUGAGAGGGAGGAGGGAGACAUAAACCAAAUAAAUAAAUGUAAUUGUAAAUAAAUAAA